GGGGAGUACCACAACCGGUGGAGCCUGCGGUUUAAUUGGAUACAACGCCGGGAAUCUUACCGGAGGGGACAGCAGUGUGAAGGCCAGGCUAAAGACCUUGCCAGAUCAGCUGAGAGGAGGUGCAUGGCCGUCGCCAGUUCGUACCGUGAGGCAUCCUGUUUAGUCAGGCAACGAUCGAGACCCGCAGUCUUAUUUGCCAGCAUGUCCUUUGGGGUGUAUGGGUACAAUAAGACGACCGCCAGCGCUAAGCUGGAGGAAGGAGCGGGCUACGGUAGGUCAGCAUGCCCCGAAUCCUCCGGGAUACACGCGGGCUACAAUGGUCAGGACAAAAGGUACCGACCUCGAAAGAGUGAGGUAAUCCACAAACCUGAUCUCAGUCCGGAUCGAAGGCUGCAACUCGCCUUCGUGAAGAUGGAAUCGGUAGUAAUCGUGACUCAAAAUGUCACGGUGAAUAUGUCCCUGCUCCUUGCACACAC
rnacentral:rRNA from 1 species